rnacentral:rRNA from 1 species
AUGGAGCUGCCGACCAGGAUUGUUGUUGGCUUCUAUAAGAAGGGAGGGUCCUCGGCUCGAAUCUCCAUCAGGUCAAUUUUGGACGAAGCAUCCAAUGUCGACACCGAGUUCGCCGCAGGAAGAAGCCCGGAGUUCGCCGGAGGUAGAAGAAGCGCCGAGUUCGCCGAAGGUAGAAGAACAGCCGUCGAGCUGUCCAAUCUCGCGUGCGUUGGCUACAACAGAGAUGGUGCCAAAGGCGGAGGGGCAGCUGCGCGGCUGUACGAGCUACAACAGCAGACUGACAUUUGGCCGGCUGGGAGAACCCAAUUGUAG